GACCCGAUAGCACAGCUGGUAGUGCAUCUGCUACAGAUGUCCGGUUGAAAGUUGGGAAUCUCAGCAGAAGACCCUCGUUCGAACUGAGGUCGGGUCA